UUCAGGUUAAACGCGGAUUUGUGCCGACAGGAUCUGGAGUUGCGCCAUCCACAGGAAGCCGUCCAGUGACGAUGGAGCAGUACCGGCCAGCGGAGUCGGUGGAGUUAAGCAGCAGCCAGUUUCCAGUCCACGGAGGAGCAAACAUCUUUGGAGUUCCUGGCACGCUGCAACUACCAGCCGGGGGGCAAACUUGGAGCAGCAUUACUGUUGGUGUGUGUACAUCUAGGAUUGACCUCCGUUGGAACCUGUAAAUUUGAAAAAGAUUAGAGGUACAGUUUCAGCCUGUUCAGGCCAGCUUGAAGCUGCUGCUCUGGAGUUGGCGUGCGGACCUCGGAUGGUAGUAGCGGGCUCAUAAUAGGCCUCUGGAUAUACUCCAGCUGAAACCUGAUGAUAUGGGCCAUGUCUACACGGCUAAUCGUGCCACUCCUGACUGACCGUGACAUGUUGUUGACCCAGUCCAUCGACGGCCUUUCCUGGGGUACGCCGGUCGCUAACGCUAGUUCCUGUUUUUGCCUAGCCUGGCUUUCACGAUGUUCUAUACGCAGCUGUGCUUGCUGCAAAUUACGCUGUUCCUGUUCUUGUUGUUUAAGGCGAAUUAGAGUUGGAAUUUGCUGCUGGAGUGUUACCGGCUGCUGUAGAAGUAAACGCCGCAAAGGCUCAAAAUGUU